rnacentral:rRNA from 1 species
AUUGAACGCUGGCGGCAGGCCUAACACAUGCAAGUCGAGCGGAUGAAGGGAGCUUGCUCCUGGAAUCAGCGGCGCACGGGUGAGUAAUGCCUAGGAAUCUGCCUGGUAGUGGGGGAUAACGUCCGGAAACGGGCGCUAAAACCGCAUACGUCCUGCGGGAGAAAGGGGGGGAUCUUCGGACCUCACGCUACCAGAUGAUCCUAGGUCGGAUUAGCUAGUUGGUGGGGUAGAGGCCUACCAAGGCGACGAUCCGUAACUGGUCUGAGAGGAUGAUCAGUCACACUGGAACUGAGACACGGUCCAGACUCCUACGGGAGGCAGCAGUGGGGAAUAUUGGACAAGGGGCGAAAGCCUGAUCCAGCCAUGCCGCGUGUGUGAAGAAGGUCUUCGGAUUGUAAAGCACUUUAAGUUGGGAGGAAGGGCAGUAAGUUAAUACCUUGCUGUUUUGACGUUACCAACAGAAGAAGCACCGGCUAACUUCGUG